UUACAAGGCAAAUGGAAUACCAUACUGUGUUGUAAUACCUUGUUAGGCUAAUUUUGAAAUAUUACUAAGUUAUGUGGGUUAUAUUUUACGUCAGUCACUAACUUAAGUUUAUGUAAAUUCACCAUCAAGAAUAAGUUAACUUAAUUUAGGCUAGCCUAGGCCUAACAUAUUCUACCUCAACCAGGUUACAAUUUACCGGUAUUAUAAAAGAAAUAGCCUAGCCUAUUUGAAAUCCAUUUUCCUUUUAAACUGAAUUGGGGUACACUUCCGUAUCUGUUGUCAAAAACAACUGAAUGAACAUAGGCUAUAACGAUCGAUAUUUUCAUUCGGUUGUUUUUGACAACAGAUACGAAAGUCUACCCCUGUAUUGUCUCUUAGUCUUUUGUAUUUUAGUUGUUGUCUGCUUCCUUUACCAACCAAUGAUUAGGCCUAACUAAUCUUGAUACAUAUUUAGGCCAGAGAAAGGUAUGCAUGAAUUUAACUAAAAGUAGUUUUCUCUCCAUUGUUUCAGUUGAUAACUCUGCAGCUUUGGUGGAAGUUAUUAUUUGGUAGCAGUGAAUAAUUUGCCUACGGUACCAAUUCUCCCGAGUGACAAAGUGGCUGUCUAGCAGCCUGUAGGCUGGGAAGGAGGAAUACAUUUUUCUUUUGCAAUCUGCAUCUGAAGCCAGCUAUCUUGCAGGCAGAACCGGUACGCAAGAACACUAGGAUCGUGGUGUAAUGGAAAUAUAUGUUGUUGCUACUAUAAUCAAGAAUUGGCUUCGCCCAGCAAAGUUUAGGAUUGAUGCAAGGAACAAUAGAAAACUCAAGAAGGCCAUUUGGGAGAUGAAGAAGACCAGAAUUAUUUUUUUUGUAAAUUGUACAUAUCUUUUUUAUAUUUGUGUUUAAAUAAUUUUUAAUUAAACUUAUUUUAUCAUACAAACAAAGUUUUUUCUUUAAAAU